UACGGAAGGCAGCAGUGGGGAAUAUUGCACAAUGGGCGCAAGCCUGAUGCAGCCAUGCCGCGUGUAUGAAAAAGGCCUUCGGGUUGUAAAGUACUUUCAGUCGUGAGGAAGGUGUUAAGGUUAAUAACCUUAGCAAUUGACGUUAGCGACAGAAGAAGCACCGGCUAACUCCGUGCCAGCAGCCGCGGUAAUACAGAGGGUGCGAGCGUUAAUCGGAAUUACUGGGCGUAAAGGGCACGCAGGCGGUUAAUUAAGUUGGAUGUGAAAUCCCCGGGCUUAACCUGGGAAUGGCAUUCAAGACUGGUUAGCUAGAGUCUUGUAGAGGGGGUAGAAUUCCAUGUGUAGCGGUGAAAUGCGUAGAGAUGUGGAGGAAUACCGGUGGCGAAGGCGGCCCCUGGACAAAGACUGACGCUCAUGUGCGAAAGCGUGGGGAGCAAACG
rnacentral:rRNA from 1 species